GCCACAAUCAUCAUAAGGGUGUCUAGUUUGAAAAAUGUGUCCGAUGACCCCGCCAACCAACCAAGAUGGCCGCCAUGGCUAAAAAUAGAACAUAGGGGUAAAAUGUAGAUUUUGGCUUAUAUCUCUGAAACCAAAGCAUUUAGAGUAAAUCUGACAUAGGGUAAAACUGAUUAUCAGGUCAAGAUCUAUCUGCCCUCAAAUUUUCAGACAAAUCUGACAACCCGUUGUUGGGUUGCUGCCCCUGAAUUGUUAAUUUUAAGGAAAUUUUGCAGUUUUUAUACGACCGCAAAAAAAUUUUGUGGUCGUAUAUUGGUAUGACGUUGGCGUCGUUGGCGUCGUCGUCGUCGUCGUCGUCGUCCGAAUACACAAUGGUUUUCGCACUCUAACUUUAGUUUAAGUGAAUAGAUCUCUAUGAAAUUUUACCAUAAGGUUCAAUACCACAAAAGGAAGGUUGGGAUUGAUUUUGGGGGUUAUGGUAAUAACAGUAAAGGAAUAAGGGGCCAAAAAUAAGCAUUUUUGUAACUUCCAGACAUAACUUGUGUGUUAGUGUAUGGAUCUCUCUGACAUUGUACCACAAGGUUCCAUAUCACUAAAGGAAUGCUGGGAUUGAUUUUGGGGGUAAUUGCCUCCAAAUUUUAGGAAUUAGGGGCCAAAAAAGGGGCAAAAAACAAGCAUUUUUCUAGUUUCAUGACAAUAACUUGUGUGUAAGUGUAUGGAUCUUUCUGAAAUUGUAC